CCCAGGCCCCGCGCCUCCCGCCGCUUCUUCCGUUUGCGGUUUACCGCAGAGAUGAAGGAGAUCGCCAGCAUCUCCCGGGCAUAAGGCUCUUUCUUGGGGACCCACGAACCCUGUGCAAGGAGGACACAGCGAGGAAGAUGUUACGAGUGGGUGAAGACAGACCAGAGGAUAGAAAAACGUAUUUGCAGAGCUGAUAAAGGAUUCCUGUGUAAAAUACAAAAGAACACUUGCACCGCAAAACAGGAGGAUAAACGAAAAUGGGCCAAAGACCUGAACAUCAAGAAAGAAACCACAGAUGACAAGUGAGCACAGGUGGGGACUGCAGCUGGGUGGUGAGCACAGGUGGGGACUGCAGCUGGGUGGUGAGCACAGGUGGGGACUGUAGCUGGGUGAUGAGCACAGGUGGGGACUGCAGCUGGGUGGUGAGCACAGGUGGGGACUGUAGCUGGGUGAUGAGCACAGGUGGGGACUGCAGCUGGGUGGUGAGCACAGGAGGUGGGGACUGCAGCUGGGUGGCAGAGCCCUUGCCUGGCACAUGUGAGGCUGCAGGGUCAAUCCCCAUAGGCCAAUGUGAAUGAGGCUACUGGUGGGGACACCACAAGGACACACAAAGGAAAACCACACAGUACCACCACACAGCCGGUAGGAGGAGGACGAUGAUAUCAGUUAUAUUGGACAACACCAAUACUGACAAGAACUGAACGCGGCUGAGGGGUGGGGAGGCAGAGGUAGGUGGAUCCCAAGCUUCUGAGAAUCUGCAGAGUUUAAGGACAGAUGGGGCUCCUCAAUGAGACUUUGUAUGAGAAAAAAGGAAAGAAAAGAGAACCCAAACAGAAACUUCAGCUUUCUUUCACUGCUGGAAGAGAUGGCAAGCCACUCUGGAUCACACCCAUGAUUGUUUGCUAAGCUAACAAUACUCUUUUCCUGUGACCUUGCAGUCCUGGUCAUGGGUGCCAAAAUCAUAAGUUCACACAGAUAGAUCUGCACAUAGCUGUCUGUGAAACAGCUUGAUUUGUAACAGCUGAGGCUCGAGGGCAACCACACUGUCUGCUGUGGUUUGCACAAAUCCAAGGGCAUCAAAGGCUUGGUGCCCAGGUGGCACUACCAGAAGGCACUUUAGGAGGUGGAGCCUUGUGGCCAUACCCCAGAGGGGAGGGUGGGACCCAGCCUACCUUUCUCCCUCUUUCUCUGUGCUCCCAAGCUAAUAAGGUGGACAGUUUUACUCCUCUCCGCUCCAGCUACAAUCACAAAGUGAUACCAGAGGCCAAAUGCAACAGAGGCACUGACACACGGACCGGAGUCAUUGGAACUGUGAGCCAAAAUAAACUUCCCUCGACAAGAGACACCCUCAGGUGUCUCACUAAGUGACUGAGCUCUGACGCAUAACUCUCAGGGGAGGAAUGAAUAAAUGAGCCCCGAUAUACCCCGUGGGAUAUUAUUUAAUAUCAGAUGGAAGCAGGCUAUGGUCAGGGAUGGUGGUACAUGCAUGUAAUCUCAGCACUAGGGUGACUGAGGCAGGAGGAUCUGUGCGAAUUCCCGGGCAAACAUGGUCUACACAUCAAGAUCUUGUUUCAAAAGCAGACAAGCAAAACAACAAUAACAACAACAACAACAACAACACCUAUUUACUGGGUCAUGGAAAGACACAAGGUGGGGGACUAGAGAGAUGACUCAGCGGGUAAGAGCACUGACUGCUCUUCCAGAGGUCCUGAGUUCAAUUCCCAGCAACCACAUGGUGGCUCACAACCAUCUGCAAUGGGAUCCGAUGCCUCUUCUGGUGUGUCUGAAGACAGCGACAGUGUACUCACAUAUAUAAAACAAAUAAUUCUAAGAAAAAAAAGACACAAGGGGACUAACUCACACCUCUGGAACCACUGCUGUGUCAUCUGUGUUGCCAAUGUCCACACUGCUUGACUUCAGCCCCAUGAUGUUGUGGAAAAGGCAAACCCCAGGUACAGUGUGAGGGGGAAGGUGAAGGCAGAGUGCACCUGACAGUUAGGGCUCUGGCGGCGAUCUGUAUGACACUACAGUGAUGGACACAUGUCAUGAUGUGUCUCUCCAGGCCCACAGAGCAUACAGGAGUGAACUCUAAUGUUAGCCAUGACGUUAAUUAUGAAUGCCAGUCGGUAGGAUGAGCUGUCGGGUUCUUGGUGGUGCUGGGUGUAGAACCCAGGGCUGUGAACUGAGCUAGAGCCCGCCACACUCUAGGUGACUAUGACCAGUUCUCUGUCAUGGCAGAGGCUCUAGCUUGGGGGUAUGUGGAUAACGGUGAAGGGUCCAUGUGGUGCGCUCGGGGGUGUUUCUGUAGCUUCUGCUCAAUUCUGCUAUGAAUCUAAAACUCCCUUUAAAUGUUUAGAAAAAACGUAUUUGCUAAGAGGUAAAACAAACUAAGCAAAGUUGUGGCCUUGCGUCCGGGUGUCAUGAAAGAGUGAUGACAGUGAUGUCAGGUGAGCUGAGGACCCUAUUUACCAGCCAAGGUGGGACCCGGGAACCCCGAAGAUGCAAGAGGUAAGGAAAAAUCUCAAGUGGACAGAAAUACAGAGCGAAGUAAAAAGACAUCAGUUUUUCUUGUGGCGGUGGCUGAGACGGGGCCUUUCAAUGUAGCCCAGGCUGGCCUCAAUGUCACAGAGAUUCCCCUACCUCAGCCUUUUGAGUGCCGGGGUACAGGCAUGAUUUACCAGACCAUACCAAAGGUGUCUAAGCCAAUGUUUUGCAAAAAGAUAGGAUUAGUGUAAUCAGGGCAAGUGAAGAUGGGUUGGAGAGAUGGUUUAGUGGUGGAGAGCACUGGCUGCUCUUCCAGAGGUCCUGAGUUCAAUUCCCAGCACUCAAAUGGCAGCUAACACCCACUUGUAACUCUAGUUUCUGGAGAGCCAACCUCCUCUACAAACACGUUGUGCACGGACACAAUCCAGUUACAACGAUACAUAAAUACACAUAAAAUAAAAAACAGCGAAUGACGACCAGCUGAGCUGUUCUGGGGAGGGGGCUCAGCUGGAGUAACAUGCCAAAGUCCUGGGUUUGGUCUCCACGACACUAUGAGCAGGAGGCAAGAGGAUCAAGUUCAAGGUCCCUCUGAACUUGCUUAGCAAGUUGAAGGCCAGUCUGCUACCUGAGAGACAAAGGCUCAAAAUACGAGGGCCUCCCAACCCUGGGAACAAUUCCAGUCAGAGAGUCCCAGAAGGCUCUGUAAGUCAGAGAGCUGGACAUUAACAGGCUGAAUGUGGCCAGGCUGUAGUGGCACACACCUUUGAUCCUAGCACUCAGGAGGCAGAGGCAGACAUCUUUAAGGUCCAGGCCAGCCUGGUCCACAGAGUGAGUUCCGGGACAGCCAGGACCACACAGAGAAACCCUGUCUUGAAAGCACAACAAAACCUCCAACAAAUGCAAGUGUGAUUUGCAGGAGGCUCAGCUCCAGCCAGAAGCACAGGGCUCCACUCUUGGUGGCGGAAGCAGAUGAUGUCAGCUGAGACUAAGCUUGGAGUGUGAUAGCCCUGAGCCUAAAAUGGGUGGGUCAAUCUCUGCAGCAUUCACUGGGGCAGAACCUGAAACGCUGAACCUCCAGGGGUCUACUUCACACCCACAGCCCCAUCCCUCUAGCAGCAAGAGUAUCAUUUAGGAAGCCUUAAAAGUUUCCACAGUCCUCUGCCUGCAUAGAUCUCUCUAUCAUGGCUAGGGCUCACCUAGGGAUCUCAAGAGGGCUAGAAAAAUCUGCCCAUCCCACAGGCAGGAAAGCUAAGUGUGGUCCUAGAGGCCCCUGGCACACACAGAAGGGAGGCAGCUUACUCUGGGAAGAGCUUGUCCAACACAGACCCAACACCAGCAUAAGCCUCGGAAAAGGCUGAACACAGGAACACUGCAGAGACCCCCGCUGCAGGGGACAGGAAGGUUCCAUGUUCUGAGGACCCAGAAAGGGUUCCUCAGGUUUCCUUUCCACUCCUACUGUGCUCCCUGCCAAACUCCACAUCCCCACUCUCUACAAACAAACAAACAAACAAACAAACAAACAAACAAACCUGGUCUUAUCUAGUAGCCCUGGCUAUAUAGAAGAGGCUGGCCUCAAGCGUGCAGUGAAUCUCCUCCUGCUUUGGUCUCUCAAGUGCUGUGAUUACAGGCGUGAGCCACAACCACCCCCCCCCCAAGACAUUUCAGAAAGAUGUUUCUUUCUUACAACAUGAGAACAGACCCCUGGGUGCACUGCCAUUGCAAGGGAGCAGAGGGUUGGGUAGCAACGGGUGCUGCCUGCCUCUGCUUUGACGCCACUUUUAGCGGUGUUUAUGUUCUAUUGUGUGCACGAAUUGUCCUACCUUUUAUUCCUUUUCAUACAGUCUUCUACUUUAUAUUUAUUUGUACAUUUCCAUUCAUUACUGGGCACUCUUUUUCCUUCCUUCUUCCUUCUUUCCUUUAGUAGUGUUUUGACUUUAUUUUGUGUUUCAAUUUUGUUGUUGGUUUUUGUUUGUUUUAAGACUGGGUUUCUCUGGCUAUCCUGAAAUUUGCUCUGUAGACCAGGCCUGCCUUGAACUCAGAAAGAUCCUCCUGCUUUUGGCUCCCAAGUGCUGGGAUUAAAGGAAUGGGCCACCACCACGUGUAUUUCAAUUUUUUAAAAGCUAUUUUUAAUUUUUUUACUCUUCUUAUAUUUACCUAAUUUUAAUUAAUUAAUUUAUUUAAUGUGAGUACACUGUCACUCUCUUCAGACACAUAGCAGAAGAGGGCAUCGGAUCCCAUUACAGAUGGUUGUGAGCCAACAUGUGGUUGCUGGGAAUUGAACUCAGGACCUCUGGAAGAGCAGCCAGUGCUCCUAACCACUGAGCCAUCUCUCCUGACCCCACUUAUCUAAUUUUUAAAAACAUUGUUAUUGUGUAUUGUGUAUUGUGCAGUGUGUGUGUGCGCGCGUGUGAGAUCAGAGAGUAUUUUUUUUUUCGGAGCUGGGGACCGAACCCAGGGCCUUGCUCUUGCUAGGCAAGCGCUCUACCACUGAGCUAAAUCCCCAACCCCAGAGAGUAUUUUUGAGUCAGUUCUCUCCUUCCAAAGGAUGCUAGGGAUUGAACCCGGGUCCUCGGGCUCAGCAGCAGGCAUUUUACAAAACUGAGCCAGUCCACUGGUCCUGAGUUUAAACUUUCUCAAAAUGGAGAAAUCCUUUUUUUUUCUUUUUCCACUUUUUCUAAUUUUUUUCUAAUGCAUUUUCUCUAUUCCGUUUCUUCUUUUCCUCUCAUUUAUUUAACCUUGCUUGUUCUCCAUUUCCCCUCCCUGCCUCUUUCUUUAUCUCUUACUCUCUCUACAGCUGCCUGAGAGAACUUUAACUUCCUAACACCUCUGCACGGUCUACAGUCAUUAACAAACUAACAAAGGUGCCCUUUCCUCACUCAUGCUGUUGCUUUUACAGUAGUUUUGUUUCCUCCUCUCUGAGUGGUGCUAGGGAUGGAGGCCUCUGGAGCAGGCAGACUGCUCAGUCAGCCAAUCUCCAGAUACCACAGCAGAGAGAGAAAUGGAGAGCCGUGAAGAGGCUCCAACGGGGCUCCUCCAAAGGCAGAGAUGCUUUAAGAGAUGGAGGGACAGCUCAGUGGUUGAGGGCACUGGCUGCUCUUGCAAAGGACCUGGUUCAAUUCCCAGCACCCUCAUGGCAGCUCACACCCCUGUAAUUCUAGUUCCAGAAGAUCCCAUAUCCUCUGCAGGUAUGUGGUGCACACAUACAUACCUGGGGGGGGGAAAACAUACACAUUCUAUGCAUUAUGUAUCUAUCUCUCUAUCCAUCUACCUACCUACCUAUGAUACUGUAAUAGUAAAAUCCUAGAUGACGAUGUCAAAAGCUUACUAGUAAAAAGACUCAGUUAUGGGGUUGGGGAUUUAGCUCAGUGGUAGAGCACUUGCCUAGCAAGCACAAGGCCCUGGGUUCGGUCCUCAGCUCCGGAAAAAAAAAGACUCAGUUAUUUAAAACAGGACACAAAGACAGGCAAAAUCAAGUUAGGAUCUGGGGAGGAAAAUCAGCAAAGCAGAGGAAAAGGUCAGCAAAGACAGAUGUGCGGAAAAAAUAGAAAUGUUGGAAAUGAAAAACUCAAUGAAUGCAAUAAAAGAACAGAGCAGAAAGCACAGCCGAUGGACGCUGAUGGAGCGGAGAAGACGUGUCAGGGAUGCAGGGUGGGCUAGCUAGUUUUAUGUCAGCAGACACAAACCAGAGGGGUUCUCAACUGAGAACGUGUCUGCAUAGGCUGGCCUGUAGGCAAGUCUGCUGGGCGUUUUCUUGGUUAAUGAUUGAUGGGGGAUGGCCCAGCCCACUGUGGUGGCCCCACUCCUGGUUGAUGGCCCUGGCUUGUUUGGGAAAGCAAAGCAGGAGGAGCAAGUCAGUAAGCAGCACUCCUCCUGGCUUCAGCUCCAGAACCUGGGCUCUUGCUCUGACUUCUUUUGAUAACCACUGUGGUGUGGAAAUGUCAACAAAACCCCCACCCGGAGUUAGCCAAGGUGUUUCAUCACAGCUGGACGCAGACAGAGGACUGGUGGCCAAAACACAACAGUGUAACAACACAGGGAAAAAAACAUGAGCUUGGCCACAAUGACUGGGAACUCUGAUGUAGGAUCAGGAGACCACGCCUGAGCAUCACAGGCUGGACGGAGCUGAGAUUAGACUGAAAGGCACACAGACUCUGAAUACAGCAGAAAAAUGCCAAGGCUAGAGACAGACAGACACCUAAAGGGAGCCCCAAACAAGCACAAAGAAGAAUCUCCUCAAGACCGAUUACAGGCAAGGUGGAAAAAUAAAAAGAAACACUUUUACACAGGCAGAUCCAUCGGAAAAACACCAGCUGGCCACAGCCAAGCAUGGAGGGAGCCUCUCGGGCCUGGACGUCUGUAACUAACUGCUGACAGGGCCCAGGAGAGCUACGGCUUGAAACUGACAGAAAAGUAAGAGCAUUUCAAGAUGAACACAAACUAAAGCGGUCCUCAAGCCAGCGCUGCAGGAAAGGUUUACAGGAGUAAGUCUCAGCCAGGAGAACACAUGAAAGGCUACAUCUCACCAGGAAGAGCUAGGCAGACAUCCAGGACGAUAAAAAAAAGCCCUUGGUGCUAACAGGGGAGAGAGAACAGGACAAACAAUAAUCCAGGCAACUCAAUGACAGCAAUUACCAAAUACCACUCAGUUAUGGCCAUUCAUGUAAAUGACCUCAGCCCAUCAGUAAAGACACACAGCUAAGCUGCUGGCUGGAUUAAAAAAAAUCAAUUGUGCUGGAAAGAUGGCUCAGUGGUUAAGAGCACUGACUGCAGGGUUGGGGAUUUAGCUCAGUGGUAGAGCACUUGCCUAGCAAGCACAAGGCCCUGGGUUCAGUCCCCAGCUCCGAAAAAAAAAAAAAGCACUGACUGCUCUCCCAGAAGUCCUGAGUUCAAAUCCCAGCAACCACAUGGUGGCUCACAAACAUCUGUAAUGGGAUCCCAUGCCCUCUUCUGGUGGUGUUUGAAGAUAGCUACAAGUGUACUCAUAUACAUAGAAUAAAUAAAUCUUUUGAAAAAAAUUAAUCUUCACCAAAGGUUACCACACAGACUGAGAGUCUAGGAUAGAACUCAGUCUGUCAACCAAAUAGAAGAUGGACACAAGCCGGUGUAGCAAUUCUAUGUAAUCAGUAAACUUCGAAACACAAUGAGAAGAAAUAAAAUGUUGCACACAGUUAAAGGAACAGGCUGGGUUAGUGGCUCGGUUGACCCAGUGCUUAUCCAGCAUGCAGCAGUCUCUGAAUUCAUUAUUCAGCAUGAGGGGAAAAGUCACUACCAUUGGGUCAGAGGCAUUAAUAAUAAAAAAUUGAGCUGAGGACAUAGCUCAGUUGGUAGGGUGCUUGCCUAGCAUCCACAAGGUUCUAGGUUGAUAACAACCACCACAGAAACAAGACAUUUAGUACACAUUUAAAUUCGAUGUCACCUUGGCUACAUAGUGAGUUUAAGGGCAGCCUGGGCUACACUUUCAAGGGAUCCAACACUCUCUUCUGGCCUCUGUGGACACCAGGCGCAAAACAGUGCACAGACAUGCAUGCAGGCAUAACCCUCCCCCCCACCACAGACAAAAUUAAUUUAAAAAAUGAUUGUAGAGAGAACCUCUUGUUUACUGUGUGGAAGCAUUACCUGUCAAUAAAAAUCAAUGGCCAAUUAGCAAAAGGCAGGAAAUAAGAGGUGGGACAUCCUGAAGAGAGAGAGGAACUUUGGGAGUUAGUCAGGUGCAGGAAGAUUCACCACUUGGACUUAUGAGAAAUAACUAACCAGCCAUGUAGCAGACAAAGAAUAAAAUAAGUGGGUUAUACGAGUUAUAAGCAGUCACAGAACAAGCCCGAGAGCCAUGGCCUGUGAAUAAAGAACCCUCCAAGUGAUUUUCCAGGAAAUCGGGGGGCAGGUGGAAAAGCCCAAGGUUACAGAAGGUCUACACUGGGAGUCCUGGACAAACCAGCCCUAAGAGAGAUGACACGUGUGUGUGCAUGUGUACGUCUGUUUCUAUGUCUGUAAAAGAGACACUCAGGAGCACAGUAAGCAUAGUGGACAGUCCCAAUACAACAGAACUUAAAUGCUCUGCUCAAAUCUACAUAAUGUAUCCAAAAUAAAGAUAAACAAGGAGGGGCUGGACACAUAGGUCCUCAGUAAACACUUGUUGCUCUCCAGAGGACUUGGUUUUGUCUCCCAGCACCCAUGUUGGGCAGGUCACAACCACCUAAACUCCAGCGGAUCCUACACCUGCUUCAGGCCUCCAUGAGUGCUAUAGGCACAUACGUACAUACAUACACACACAGAGACACACACAUACAUAGACGCACACACACAGACAUACAUACAUAAACACACACAUACACAGACACACAUGCACACAUAGGCAUACACACAUACAUAGGCAUACACACAUACAUAGACACACAUACAUACAUAGACACACACACAUACAUACACACACACACAACACACACACAUAUACAUAUACAUUACUUAAAAAAAGAAAAUCUAGCAAGGUGUGGUGUCUUUUACUCCAGCACUCAAGAGGCAGACACAGGCAGGUUUGUGAGUCUGAGGCUGAGGCUAUCCUGGUCUACAUACUGAGCUCCAGUCUAGCCAGGCUACAUAGGGAAACUCUAUCUCAAAAAAAUAUUUUGUUUCCACUACACCACAGGUAAGCAGAGUAUUUAUUCCAACAGAUACGGCAAACAUUCUUCUCAUGGGGUCUCUCCAAAACAGACUACAUUCUAGGCACAAAGCAAGUCUUCACAAAUACAAAAGAUUCAAAAUAAUUUCGCCUACCUUACUAAAUCAAAACGCUAAAAGUUGAAAUCAACAGUGAAAGAGACCACAUGGGUCCUUGGAGACCGAGGGAUGACACUGUGGAAUGACUGGUGAGGAAAUGGGCGGGGCUUUAAGGAAAAGCUUACAGCAAUCAUCAGCUUUUCACUGAAAUCAGAGAGUGCCAGGUGGCGGUGGUGCAUGAGGCCAGGCUAGUCUAUAGUGAGUUCCAGAACAAGGACAGCUAGAGUCACACACACAAAACCUGUCUCGAAAAACAAAACCAGACCAACAAAACAAAAACCAAUCAGGCUGAAGCAGUCAUAAAGUGCCUGCCGCACUUCUGCCAAAUUCUGCUGAACUUUUCAAGAGCUCACAGCACUUCUGAAGCUUCCCGGAAGUUCGCUACUGAGGUCGCUCUACAAAGUCAGUACUAUCCUGAGGCCAAACUAGGCAAGAGUCCAACAGAGAACAAAACUGCAGAGCAGUCUCCUGAUUAGCAGGGACGCAAGAGUUAUCAACACAUACUUGCAGGCCAGACUCAAGAAUACAUUACGGUCAUCACGCGCCAUGACCAAGGUGGUUUCAUCCAGGUGUGCAAGGUUAAAUGUGUGCAAAUCAAUAAAUGUAAUGUAGCGUGGAAAUGUAUAUCAAGGACAAUGAUGUGAUCACCUCGACAGACACAGAGAAGCUCAAGGUCCUUCAAGAGCACAGCACAGACCACACUAGGAUCAGAAGGAACACACAUCGACACGGUAAGUCCACAUGUGACAGACGUAAAGCCAACAUUAUACUAACAGAGGGACACUGAAGGGGGCGUCACAAUACCCAACCUCAGGCUGUGCCCGGUGGGACAGGAUGGCGGACCCGAGGGCCAAUGUGCUGCACACCUAUCUCUAAUCCCAGCACUCAGGCCAGAGGAUCAGGAGUUCAAGGCCAGACGUGGGGAGGGAGAAGAAUAACAGGUGCUGGUGAGGGUGUGGGGAACGAGGAACACUUGCUGCCAGUUGGGAUAUAGACCUGGUGCUGCCAUUACAGAAGUCAGUAUGGAGGUUCCUCAAAAACUAAAAACAAAACGAUAUGCCUAGCCAUGUUCACAGCUCAAUCAAAAUCAUGACAUCUGCCAGAAAAUGACGGACAUCUUUAUGUUAGGGCAGAUUCAGAGGACACUUACUUCAUGGUUUUUCACAUCCAUAAAAAGAGGAAGGGGCCGUGUUCGGGGAGGAAGAGACAGUAACUGACCUGACGGGGAGCUUAGAAGGGAGGGAAAGGGAUACUCAGACGGAGGAAGGAGACCAGCAAGGGCAUGGGAGCCGCUGGGAGGACCCAGUGGGCAAGCCAGGUAGCCUGAGUUCAAGCCCCAGGACCCGCACUAAGCAGAAGAGAACCAACUCCAGAGCUGUCUCUGAUCUCCAGCACCCACAGGGUGUGCACCCCCACUAUGCACAUACAUACUACUGCUAGUAAAUAAAGGGGGGGUGCAGAGAGGACAGAGGAACGGCGCGGAAGCUGGCUAAACAGUGACCGUACUUAUGAAAAUGUUACAAUGAAACCCAUUACUUUGUAUACUAGCUCAAAUUUUUAAAAAGACAGCUAGGGGGUUGGGGAUUUAGCUCAGUGGUAGAGCGCUUGCCUAGGAAGCGCAAGGCCCUGGGUUCGGUCCCCAGCUCCGAAAAAAAGAACCAAAAAAAAAAAAAAAAAAAAAAAAAAGACAGCUAGAAGGAAUGUGGGAAGUAGCUAUAUGUAUAAAAUAUAGGUAACAGCCAGGCACAGCAGCAGUCUUCAGAGGCAGGUGGAUCUCUAUGAGUUCAAGUCAGCUUGGCUUACAUAGAAAAUCCUAGGCCAGAGUUAUCUAGUGGGACCCUACCUCAAAAUAAAUAUCAAACACACACACACACACACACACACACACUAUAUAUAUAUAUAUAUAUAAUAUAAUAUAUAUAAUAUAUAUUUCCUUAGAAAGAGACCAAAAGUCACAUAAAGGAAAAUAAAACCCUGACUAAAGACUAGUACAUUUGCUGAAGUAAUUGUUCAUGCUCCACCCACAAGGUAUCCCAGGCCUGACCCUUCACUGCAUUAAACAUCCCCAGUUUGAGGAGAAUAUAACAUACAGCACGUUACUACAACUGCCGUAAAAUGUGGAGAAAGGAGAAAAUGGCCGAAUGUAACUGAGUGGGUCUCAGUCUACCACCAGGGCUCUCCUCAGACUCUGGAGUCUGGCUGGCCUUGACCCCGCUCUUCCUGCCUGGCACAGCCUAUUACCUAAUGUCAUUGUUGAGGAGACAGCCUGGGACCAAGGGCCAGAGGCCAGCAAUGGCACCAAAUACCCUCCAACACAUGGGACAGCACUGUCAGGGUUGUGUCUCUGUGCAAGAACACUGCAUAGCACGCCCAGUGAACGCCCUGGGCACCAUCCCUAACGUGGGAAAGAAAAGUGCCAAGGCUGAGAAGUUUCAGAGCCCGACAUGCAUGGAAUCAGUGGCUUACCCUCCACCCUGGGCCCUGGGUGCCAGCUGACAUGAGCAGCACAGCAGGGUUGCCAUUCAUUCCCUCUACCUCAAGAUGUCUGGUCUUGUGACAGGAACUACCGUGGGAAGCCAUUUUGGCUGAAAUCCCAGGAGGAAUUAAUGUUAUCUGCUAAUUCCAAUGGCCGUUGUCUGGCCAGGGCUGACUUCAGUCUAUACCAUCCACCCCUGCCUGGCUCUGCUGCUCCUACAGAGACCCCCAGGCUCUUAGAAGGUCUGGCCCAAGGGUCUGCAGAGGAUGGAGCCUACCUACUCAGAGUUAAAGAUGUCUCCAGCCUGGGAGGCUGAGAGUGGAAAUUCACCGGCUCAGCGGUUAGUCAGGAGUGAAUCCCUGCAGGAAAGCCCCGCCUGCCUAGGCUCAGCAGGUCACUCAUUCGCUGACUCAGUCGCUUAGCAAACACAGUGUUCACCACCCACACGCUAGGCCAUGCAUCUAGACUGACAUGGCCCCUGCCCUACUGAGGGGCAGACACUGCCUCCAGGGAGGCUCACUUGCUAUGGGCUUGCUUUCUUCCCAAGGGCUACUGUUCAAGGAACUCUUGUGUUGACCACAGGCUGAGGCUUCCAACAACUUCUCCAAAUUCACACAGUAGAGAACAGGCCAUGAUGCUCUUUCCUGCAGCCAGACCCCUGACAUGGGGUGAGAGAACAGGUGAGCAGGCCAGAGUCAGUGUCCGGGCCCAGCAGCUGCCCUCUGGGAAGUCAGCUCUGAGUAGACGGGCCUGGUUAAAAUCCUGGCGAUGCCAUUUUCUGGUUGUGACCUUGCACAGGUCAUCCCCUCUCUGAGCACCUGUUUCCCUCCUCUAUAAGUAAGUGGUGACAAGACUCAGUUUUUCUUCCCUAAGGUGUCCGAAAAGGGGAGGGCCACAGCUCCCUCUGGUGACCAAAGGCUAACCUUAUUCCCUCUGCAGGAGGAAGCCUGUUUAUGUAUAGGCAUAAAAUUUAUAAAUUUAUAAAUGUGCAAUAUUUUAAAUUUUAGAUAACAAACAUUAACAUUGUCAUUUCAUAAAAUGAAUUAGACACUAGAGAUAUUCCUCUGUAGUUAAGGGUCUGGGUCCACACUGUGUGGCUGUCACAGAAGGUAAGUGGGAAAUCUGAAGAUGCAUAAAAAUUAUCCUGCAACCCCUAAGCCAGUGGUUCUCAAGCUGCAUGACACAGAGACCUUUAAUACUGUCCUCAUGUCGAAGUGACCCCAACCAUAACAUUUUGAUCUACUUCACAACUGUAAUUUUCUUAUUGUUGUGAACUGUAACAUUAAUAUCCGUGUUUUAUGAUGCUCUUAGGCAAUCUCUGUGAAUGGUGACCUACAACUUGAGAAACAGUGCCCAAGAAUUGCCUUUUGAGUGGGCUUCAGAAGAUAGUGCCCUCUAGCGCCCUCUGCUGGUGGUUUCUUCAUUCUUCCUAGACAAAAGCCAAGACUCAUUAGAGCUUCCAGGAGUCAGAAGGGAGGUGAAGCAGUGGCUUGCACCAGAGCAUCAUGGAGGAUGUGGCCUUGGUUCCUGUUCCAUGUCCUGUACCUCCUGUGCUCCCUGACCUGACCUGUGGCUGUUGGGGAACAGGCCUCUGAUGCCCAAGUCACAGUUCUGCAGGCCACCUCCCCUAAACAGCCUACUGAGGACCCUCUGCAUCAGUCUCCAGCCCCAUGGUCCUAUCCCUGCUUCUCCUCCCUGACUCCUCGUCCAGUCUUGUUCCUCUUGUUGCCUUGAUGGCAGCCUGUCACUGCUGAAAACCAUGUAGCCCCCUAGUGGUGUCCUCUCUGGCUACUGGUGCUGUUGCAAGCAUCCUGGGGCACAGAGGCGGGCAGGAGCAGAGCCUGGCCCCAGGCGUCCGGUGUACAGACAUGCAAUGGGCACUUACAUGCUGGAUUAGUGUCUCCACGAUCUUGUAGCGGUCCGGCAUGUGCGUUACCAUGUCUGUCAUGUUGUCUUCAGAUGUCCUUACCAACGUCGGCCCAAAGACCAGAGCCAGGUUCCGGGGCUCCAUCUGGGUUGGGGACGGGGGAAAUCCUGGGAUCAAUGCUUUGAGCAUGACCUCCAAUUCCCUUCUCUCCUUCCUCUCUCCAGGUCACUGAGGCCACCAUCCCCAACUCUGACAUGUCCUUAGAUUAGGGGAUGAACAUCUCACGUGGGCACAAAGAGGUUUGCUGAACAGAGUUCUAGCAUGCCCACUGCUCACCUCACAGGCCCAUCGAGGGUAGCCCCAAGAGGUUAGUAAUAGCUGCGGGGAUCCUACAUGGCCCCCAGAACACAGGAGCUGGCUCUGUGAGGGAAUAGCUCUGUGGACAGCUGCACUGGCCAGUGUGCUAGGAAUAGGACCCUUAGGAAGAGGGAGGGCUCACAGGGCCUCGAUCGUGCAUAGGAAGCACCCAUCCCAGUGCAGCCUGUGCCCCCCAAAUUCCAUAGCGAGCAGCACACACCUUGUUUUUCUCUGAGUGGUCAGCAAUGGUCUUGAGAUGGCCCACGAGGAAUUUAAGUGUUUCAUAGUAGUGUCCUGGGAGAUCCCGGAUCUAAGGGACAAGAGGAAGGAAAAGGGAUCAGGUUAUGGUAAUCUCUCCAAUAAGCCUCCACAUAUGCUAAAGAGAUUCCCACUGUCCUACUGCAGGGAGCUAAAAUCCACCUUCCCGCUCCCUUCCUUGACACAGAUGGGAAACUGAGACUAUUGGUAGGGAGAGACUUCUUUGAAGCCUCUGUGAGAAUGGAACCCAGCUGCCUCUCCUGCCUGACAGUGCUUCAUUCCUCACCAGCUUCCUCAGGGUCUUCAUCCUCUCUCUGGAAUCUUCUAUCCGAUUGGCCUCGAUGAAGUCAUUGUAUUUGUCUAGAACACAGGAGAGAUCCUCAGUGGUGGGAGGCAACUCAUUCCCCACCCUUGGGAGCUGAGGGUCCCAGCCAGGAAGGGAAGACAUUGAUGCAGCCUGGGUGUUCACAUGGGAUGAAAACCAGAGCUUUGUGCUGUUCCCUGAAAAGGGUCCCCAAUGUCCCCUACUUUUGUCUCUAGGUUAAGGAUCCCAAGGCUUAGUAGGUCGGAAAAAAAAAAAGAGGAGCCUCAGACUCCUCACCUGCCCCACCAGUUCCCUGAGGGUCCUAAAGAUGUCACCAGGGAACUUUAAUACUGAAGGUAAUAAGCCCCUUUCCCCGCUCUCCUUGGGCCUACAGCCUCCAUCAGGUUAGCUGGGGUAACCUCAGCAAACAGGAGCUUUAUGUGACCAGGUCCUCAGUCCACCCUCAGCACCCCAAGAUAUAAAGCAAAGUUCAUCCAGUCGAGCCAUGUACAAGGACUGCCAAGAUUACGGUUUAGGGCUGGGCAAUGGCCCAGCGGGUGAAGAGCAUGAGGACCUGAACUCAGAUUCACAGCAUCACAUAACGAGCUUUGCUGUGGCAGCCCUGUCACCCCAGGACUGGGAGAGGAGACAGGAAGACCCCUGGAUCUCACUGGCAAUUUAGUCCAGCUACCUGGCAAGCCCUGGAUUCAUUGAGAGACCCUGACUCAGAAAAGAAAAUGGAGUGAUACUUGAAGAUACGGAAUGUCAACAGUUGGCUCUUGAGGAUGUACACGGGGCAGUGGGAAGGCCUGAGGGUCCCACAGGACAAGGGCUGUGUUGAAGGAUGCAGGCUUUCCUGAAUGCCUGAGAGAGACCAGUGAGAGAGCAACCAUCUGGACCUCAUGCCACACAAGCUCCUUUAGGUGUACGACAGAGUCUAAUAUGUAAAUUGAAAUACCAAAGGCGAGGGCCUGUGUGCUGACUCUGUCUAAAGGCGCUUGCUGCCAAGUCUAACAACCCCAGGGUCCCACAGAGCAGAAGAGGAAAACUGAAUCCUGCAAGCUGUCCUUUGACCUCUGCAUAAAUGACUUGGGAUGUCUGUGCACUUCCCUCCAACUAACUAACUAGCUAGCUAGCUAACUAACUAACUGUAAGAGACCAAAGGCAAGCCGGGCAUGCUGGCUCGUGCCUAUAAUCUCAGCACUCAGGAGGCUGAGGCAGGAGGAUUGUUUCAAGUAUGAAGUACACUGGGGAGGAUAGCAAGACCUUGUCUAAGAAAGAAAUAGAAAGGGGGGGGUGGCUCGGCAAAUAACUGCAAGAUCAGCAAAGCUCAGUGUGAAUCAUAUACAAAAUUCAUUCCCACAAAUCAAGAGCAAAGAAUAAAAAUAUAGGUGCAUAGUAUGAACCACAGAGGAAAUGGACAGAGCUGUAGAGAGAGGAUCUUGUCUAUGGAUGCAUCACCUGUCAAUUAAACACCUAUGGCCUAUAGGAAAGGGCACAGUAGAAGGUGGGACAUCCGGGAGGCAGAAAGCAUUCUGGGAUAGAGCGAGGAGUGGGAGAUUUGCCCUGGAAGAUGUAACACAUGGUACUAGGCACAGGCGACCAGCCACGUGGCAGAAUGUAGGUUAGAGUGAAUGGGCUAUACUAAGUUAUGGGCUACGCAGAGUCGUCGAAGUUUCUGUAAAUACAUGUUGAGUCUGAGUUUUAUUUCUGGGAGCAUGGGGCUGGGAGGAAGAACGUCCUAACUUCUACACAGAGCCAAUAAACUAACAUGCUGGCAGUAGGCCGGGAUGGAGACUUCUCAGAAGCCUGCGGCAGCUCCUUGUAGAGGGUGUCUGGGACCCUGAGAAGCAAAAGACACAUCCCUCCAGGGGACCCGCCGUCUGAAAUAAGAACGGGCCUGCAGUAGGCCAGGAUGGAGACAUCUCAGCCUACUGCUGGCAGUCCUUGUCAUCGUAUGUUGUCCCCAGCACUAACAGAAAGAGGUUUACUCUCCCUAGAAAUGAGGGUGAUACACUGAAACAAUGACGAGCUACCACCCCCACCCCCCACCCCCACUGAUCAGCCAAAGCCUCAAACACUAGUGACUAAGCUGCAGCUGCCGUCCACCGGCUGAGUGGAUGUCCAGAAGAGAAGAAAAGUAACAAACAAGGUGUGGUGGUGGAAUUCCAGAUACUCGGGAGGCAGAGGCAGGAGACAACCAGACGUUCAAAGCCAGUCUGAAUAACUCAGUGUCUCAAAUGAAAUACUAAAUGAGUGGAGAGAUGGCUCAGUGGUUAAAAGCAGUUGUUGCUCUUACAGAGGACCUGAGUUCAAUUCUCGUGGCACACAACCAUCUGUAACUCUAGUUCCAGGGCAUCCAAUGCCCUCUUCUAACCUCCGUAGGCACCAAGCAUAGACACACAUGCCCGCAGAACACCCCUACGUGCAAAAUAAAAUAAAUAAGUCAAAAGAAAAGAG